UACGUAGGGCGCAAGCGUUAUCCGGAAUUAUUGGGCGUAAAGAGCUCGUAGGCGGUUUUGUCGCGUCUGCCGUGAAAGUCCGGGGCUCAACUCCGGAUCUGCGGUGGGUACGGGCAGACUAGAGUGAUGUAGGGGGAGACUGGAAUUCCUGGUGUAGCGGUGAAAUGCGCAGAUAUCAGGAGGAACACCGGUGGCGAAGGCGGAUCUCUGGGCCAUUACUGACGCUGAGGAGCGAAAAGUGUGGGGAGCGAACAGG
rnacentral:rRNA from 1 species